GACAGAGGGUGCAAACGUUGUUCGGAAUUACUGGGCAUAAAGCGCACGUAGGUGGUCCGCUAAGUCGCGUGUGAAAUCCCCCGGCUCAACCGGGGAAUUGCGCGCGAUACUGGCGGGCUAGAGAUCGGGAGGGGUGAGUGGAACUCCAGGUGGAGCGGUGAAAUGCGUAGAUAUCUGGAGGAACAUCGGUGGCGAAGGCGGCAUCCUGGACCGGUAUUGACGCUGAGGCGCGAAAGCCAGGGGAGCAAACGGG
rnacentral:rRNA from 1 species